UGGGGGAUAUUGGACAAUGGGGGAAACCCUGAUCCAGCGAUGCCGCGUGAGGGAAGAAGGUUUUCGGAUUGUAAACCUCUGUGGACAGGGACGAUAAUGACGGUACCUGUCAAGAAAGCCACGGCUAACUACGUGCCAGCAGCCGCGGUAAUACGUAGGUGGCGAGCGUUGUCCGGAAUUACUGGGUGUAAAGGGAGUGUAGGCGGGAAGGCAAGUCAGAAGUGAAAAUUAUGGGCUCAACCCAUAACCUGCUUUUGAAACUGUUUUUCUUGAGUGAAGCAGAGGCAAGCGGAAUUCCUAGUG
rnacentral:rRNA from 1 species